rnacentral:sRNA from 1 species
CGUACGGGGAAGGAUGAGAAGCUUCGAAUAAGGUUCGAUUCGAGCGAAAGCGAGAAAGCGUUGCCGCAGGCAACGACCCGAAGGGCGAAGCGCGCAGCGCUGAGUAAUCCUUCCCCCACCACCA